CAACCUGCCCUGUACUGUGGAAUAAUCAUUGGAAACGAUGACUAAUACCGCAUGUGGUCCUCGGAAGGCAUCUUCUGAGGAAGAAAGGAUUUAUUCGGUACAGGAUGGGCCCGCAUCUGAUUAGCUAGUUGGUGAGAUAACAGCCCACCAAGGCGACGAUCAGUAGCCGACCUGAGAGGGUGAUCGGCCACACUGGGACUGAGACACGGCCCAG
rnacentral:rRNA from 1 species